UCAUAUCUUCUGGCAAACAGUGAAGUUUUUUCAGAUGGUAAGAGUUAUGUAAAAUUAAGCUACUAUUUUAUUUUUACUUUGUUUGCCAGGAUGCUCUGAGUUUAAUUGUUUGUUCCAGUGUAACAAUUUUACUUCAUUGUUGUUUUCUGAUAUAUCCGUAUUUUCCCCUGGAUAUUUAAUUCUUGUUUUAAUUGUUCUUAUAGGUCUUUGUAUUGUAAGCUGACUCAAAUCCUGUUAGAAGCAGUGUGUAAGUAGAAAGUGAUGCAUGAAUUGUUAGAAUUGUCCCCAUUAAAAUAUAGUCACUAUUGGUUGCUUGGUCUUUUCUGCAUAUAGACCUUUCAAAACCAGGAUUUCUAAAGUCUGUUACACAAGAUGUGGUAGUUUCCAUUCUAUCAAUUGUUUAACACUUCAGAAGACACGUGACAUUUUUUGCAGGUUAUCCCGUCUAAUGCACAGGCUCAAGCAUUAAGAGGAGAUUCACCGAGUCUUGUGACUCAGGUGCUUGUUGAAUUUCUGGUGUGACUUGAUCGGGGUUCUGCUGAUGGCUCUAUUUCUUCUAGCUUGUGCGCCUCUGUGUUGGCUUUUUCUCGAGUCUGGCUUCCUUCAGCAGGGGUAGGGGCUGCCGGUUGCCUCUGAUCAGGCCCUGUGCUUUACUCUGCUUGGGCCACACCCUGAGGGAGCCUGUUCCUAAACCAGAGAACAAGGAUAUUCUAAGUGGGCUGGACUAGUCAGACCUUGCCUGUAUCUGUGACCCCCUCAACAAAGUCCCCAGGAGCUGCACGGUAGGGUGGAGGCGGAGUGGAAGACAGAGAGGGAGCUUUAUUGCUUAUUCCAUCUGACAGGGCCAAUGAAAAGAGAUCAGGGGAAGGACAUUUACCCACUGUGAGGAGAGCUACAAAAAAAAAACUGUGCGCACAUGUAUUUAUUUGGGAUGAACAACGCCAGAUUGUACCUUGACAGAUCUUGUAAGUUCUAUCAAAACUCUCUCACGCUUGUUAGCCUCCAGUAAAUAUUUGUCUUGAGAUGCCUUUAGAAUGGGGCAUUUGGAAAACUUCCUGCAAGUAUAUUUCUUACAUAUCUUAUUUCUCUACCAGACAUUUGCAGUUUUGUAGGAUCCAUCAACCAAUUGAUAGUGGGUUUGAGAUGUAAGUUUAGUGCACCAGAGAAAGAGAGGUGGGUUUCAUGUGCCCUGGGAACUGACUGGUGCUUGGCUCAAUGUGUCCACCAAUUGCUUUACAGGACAAAGAUUCUUAGAGGAAUUAAUAUAUUUCUGCAAAGAGGGCUCAAAAGGGUUCUGGAUACUUUUCCUUUUAAUUAAUCAAGAAAUAUUCCACUUCUUUUUAGAAAUAACCAUUUUCUCUCCCAAUUCCUAUAUUUUCUUGUAUCUGGUUAUAAUUUAUGUCUGAAGUUAGCGAUUCACAGAGGACCAUCAGAAUUUAUGGAAAAGAAGAAAGGCUGUGAGUGCACACACAAGUACACACACACCCUGACCCACAGGCGGCUUCCCUUUACAUCAAGCAUCUUUCUCAUUGCUGGACUAUGGGUAAGGCAAUGGCCUCCGUGAAAGGCCUUUUCCUGGAGAAGCACUGUGACUUUUGGGCUCCCUUGGCCAUAUGCUGCAGCAUACACGCGUGUGCUUUUGGGUUUGAGAGUAAAAUGACUUGAGGGUAGAGCGAUGGGCAUAUUGGCUGGGGGAGGAUGGAACAAGCUGUGCCAUUUCUUUACCCAGUUGCCCUGAGAACCUGUUCACUGCUGGGGGAGGCCAGGGGCUUGGAGGGAAGUACAAAUCUUGAUGGCUUUGUCCUCAGCAAGGAAAACCAGGCCAAGGUGGCCCGAGGUUCUCUCUAUAACAGGAUCGGUGUGUGUGUUCUAGGUGUUGCUGUUAUCCCUUCAGUAAUUACUGUCAACUGCUUAACACCUCUUCCCACCUGUCUUCACUUCUACCUCAAAAAGCAGAAAUGAGAAACUUGAAAAGGCCAUUUGUUGAAUCCAGUGUGUUUCAGGUCAUGACACGAGUGAACAGGACUGUUUCUUGCCUUGAGAAACACUGGUGCAGGCCCGUGUCAACGAUAAAGGCAAAUCUCCAUUCAAAUGGAGCCAGCUGGUGGAGCUGUGCGCAGGCAAUUAUCUGAGUUUACCAAGGGUGGUGCCAAGGAAGACAAGGGGAGGACUAGGAAGGGCAGGCUGGGGCUGGGGGGCCAGACACAUAGAGGCCUCACUCUCAAAGGGAGUGGUCAGCCAUUCAUAUGACAAGGUGCCAAGAUUGACUGCGCUGGAACAUGACCUGAAUCUUGGUUGAAGCUCCGGUUCUUGGAACCCAGCCCCAAAUCAGGGCCUUGUUUGUUUGGUUUCCUUAAUAUUUAUUUUAUUUAUUAUUUAUUUAUUCGGCUGCACUGGGUCUUCCUUAUGGCACGCAGAAUCUUUUGUCUUCAUUGCAGCAUGUGGGGCACCCUCAGGAGAAAUGUGACCUACUUGAAGAACAGGAAACUGGCACUUCUCAGCAUGAGACUUAUUUUUGUCUAAGGGACAUUGUGAGUCAGAUAUUCUGUGAAAGAUCAGCUGUGAAUUGCUGGCUGACUUGAAGAUUCAAACUUUCAUGUUGCUGGAUGAUCAUAGAGCUGCCCUGGAGACUGUAGGGGUCUGUGAAGCAACCUGGCAAGAGAACGGCCCUGAAGCUGGAGCUUCAGAGGUGUCAUUGGCUGAAGGUUGACAUUUUGCAAUUUUGAACUGACCCUAUGUAGUUUCAUGAGAUGUGCCUUGAAUCUCCCCAGAAGGUAACCCACACCAGUCGCAAGUUCUUCCCUCCAGAGGUGGGAGGGAGUAGAGGUUCACCAGCAAGGAGAGGGUUGAGGGCCGCCUUUGUGGGGAGUAAGCCAUGAAGUCUAAACGUGUCCCCAGGCAUGGAGCAGCAUCGCGGGUGCAUAUGGCAGCAACAGCAGGAAAAGGCAUGUGGACAGCUAAAUAUUUGUGAGCCGGUCUGCUCGCUGGAGCAUUUCCAUCAGCUGGACGCGCACCUGGAGCGCGGGGCUCGUGCAGGCCGCAGCCGGAUUCCUCAGCUCCAGGCUGCCUUUCACGG